rnacentral:lncRNA from 1 species
GCACCCAAAUGGUUUCCGCAAGCUCCCUCGUGUACUUCCCAUAAAGCAUAGUCAGCUUUCGAGGGCCGGAGGCACCUUAAGAGGGGCAAGGAGUAUGAUCUUUUGUAUAAUUUGCCCUCAUAAAGGAUGUACCGGGAGGCUUGAUUUCGGAGCUUCCGAGCCUCCUUCGCAUCCCGGGGAAGAACUCCAUCUCUAAGAUAGGUCAUCAGCGGGUCGACCCAGCUGGGCUCGUGGUCGAUCUCCAUUACGGGCCGUGGGUCUUCUAUACUCAGAUGUUUUAGAACUUCAAAGAGGAUGCCUUUGGGCAAUUCGGCCGGAGCUGAUGUCGCCAGCUUGG